AACGAACGCUGGCGGCAGGCCUAACACAUGCAAGUCGAGCGAAGCCUUCGGGCUUAGCGGCGGACGGGUGAGUAACGCGUGGGAACGUGCCCUUUGGUACGGAAUAGCCCCGGGAAACUGGGAGUAAUACCGUAUGUGGUCGAGAGACGAAAGAUUUAUCGCCAAAGGAUCGGCCCGCGUUGGAUUAGGUAGUUGGUGGGGUAAUGGCCUACCAAGCCGACGAUCCAUAGCUGGUUUGGGAGGAUGAUCAGCCACACUGGGACUGAGACACGGCCCAGACUCCUACGGGAGGCAGCAGUGGGGAAUCUUAGACAAUGGGGGAAACCCUGAUCUAGCCAUGCCGCGUGAUCGAUGAAGGCCUUAGGGUUGUAAAGAUCUUUCAGUGGGGAAGAUAAUGACUGUACCCACAGAAGAAGCCCCGGCUAACUACGUGCCAGCCGCCGCCGUAAGAC
rnacentral:rRNA from 1 species